rnacentral:rRNA from 1 species
GAUGAACGCUGGCGGCGUGCCUAAUACAUGCAAGUCGAGCGAACGGACGAGAAGCUUGCUUCUCUGAUGUUAGCGGCGGACGGGUGAGUAACACGUGGAUAACCUACCUAUAAGACUGGGAUAACUUCGGGAAACCGGAGCUAAUACCGGAUAAUAUUUUGAACCCCAUGGUUCAAAAGUGAAAGACGGUCUUGCUGUCACUUAUAGAUGGAUCCGCGCUGCAUUAGCUAGUUGGUAAGGUAACGGCUUACCAAGGCAACGAUGCAUAGCCGACCUGAGAGGGUGAUCGGCCACACUGGAACUGAGACACGGUCCAGACUCCUACGGGAGGCAGCAGUAGGGAAUCUUCCGCAAUGGGCGAAAGCCUGACGGAGCAACGCCGCGUGAGUGAUGAAGGUCUUCGGAUCGUAAAACUCUGUUAUUAGGGAAGAACAUAUGUGUAAGUAACUGUGCACAUCUUGACGGUACCUAAUCAGAAAGCCACGGCUAACUACGUGCCAGCAGCCGCGGUAAUACGUAGGUGGCAAGCGUUAUCCGGAAUUAUUGGGCGUAAAGCGCGCGUAGGCGGUUUUUUAAGUCUGAUGUGAAAGCCCACGGCUCAACCGUGGAGGGUCAUUGGAAACUGGAAAACUUGAGUGCAGAAGAGGAAAGUGGAAUUCCAUGUGUAGCGGUGAAAUGCGCAGAGAUAUGGAGGAACACCAGUGGCGAAGGCGACUUUCUGGUCUGUAACUGACGCUGAUGUGCGAAAGCGUGGGGAUCAAACAGGAUUAGAUACCCUGGUAGUCCACGCCGUAAACGAUGAGUGCUAAGUGUUAGGGGGUUUCCGCCCCUUAGUGCUGCAGCUAACGCAUUAAGCACUCCGCCUGGGGAGUACGACCGCAAGGUUGAAACUCAAAGGAAUUGACGGGGACCCGCACAAGCGGUGGAGCAUGUGGUUUAAUUCGAAGCAACGCGAAGAACCUUACCAAAUCUUGACAUCCUUUGACAACUCUAGAGAUAGAGCCUUCCCCUUCGGGAGACAAAGUGACAGGUGGUGCAUGGUUGUCGUCAGCUCGUGUCGUGAGAUGUUGGGUUAAGUCCCGCAACGAGCGCAACCCUUAAGCUUAGUUGCCAUCAUUAAGUUGGGCACUCUAAGUUGACUGCCGGUGACAAACCGGAGGAAGGUGGGGAUGACGUCAAAUCAUCAUGCCCCUUAUGAUUUGGGCUACACACGUGCUACAAUGGACAAUACAAAGGGCAGCGAAACCGCGAGGUCAAGCAAAUCCCAUAAAGUUGUUCUCAGUUCGGAUUGUAGUCUGCAACUCGACUACAUGAAGCUGGAAUCGCUAGUAAUCGUAGAUCAGCAUGCUACGGUGAAUACGUUCCCGGGUCU